rnacentral:rRNA from 1 species
UGGGGAAUAUUGCACAAUGGGCGCAAGCCUGAUGCAGCCAUGCCGCGUGUAUGAAGAAGGCCUUCGGGUUGUAAAGUACUUUCAGCGGGGAGGAAGGGAGUAAAGUUAAUACCUUUGCUCAUUGACGUUACCCGCAGAAGAAGCACCGGCUAACUCCGUGCCAGCAGCCGCGGUAAUACGGAGGGUGCAAGCGUUAAUCGGAAUUACUGGGCGUAAAGCGCACGCAGGCGGUUGAUUGAGUCAGAUGUGAAAUCCCCGGGCUUAACCCGGGAAUUGCAUCUGAUACUGGUCAGCUAGAGUCUUGAAGAGGGGGGUAGAAUUCCAUGUGUAGCGGUGAAAUGCGUAGAGAUGUGGAGGAAUACCGGUGGCGAAGGCGGCCCCCUGGACAAAGACUGACGCUCAGGUGCGAAAGCGUGGGGAGCAAACAGG